rnacentral:tRNA from 1 species
GCUUCGGUGGUGUAAUUGGCAGCCACGUCAGAUUUAGGUUCUGAUGCCGAAAGGCGUGUGAGUUCGAGUCUCACCCGAAGCACCA